rnacentral:misc_RNA from 1 species
UACGGAGGGUGCAAGCGUUAAUCGGAAUUACUGGGCGUAAAGCGCACGUAGGUGGCCAAGUAAGUCGGAUGUGAAAGCCCUGGGCUCAACCUGGGAAUUGCAUUCGAUACUGUUCGGCUAGAGUACGGUAGAGGAAGGUAGAAUUCCUAGUGUAGCGGUGAAAUGCGUAGAUAUUAGGAGGAAUACCAGUGGCGAAGGCGGCCUUCUGGACUGAUACUGACACUGAGGUGCGAAAGCGUGGGGAGCAAACAGG